rnacentral:rRNA from 1 species
UACGAAGGGUGCAAACGUUGCUCGGAAUUAUUGGGCGUAAAGGGCGCGUAGGCGGUGCGGUAAGUCACCUGUGAAAUCUCCUGGCUCAACUGGGAGCUUGCAGGCGAAACUGCCGUGCUGGAGUGUGGGAGAGGUGCGUGGAAUUCCCGGUGUAGCGGUGAAAUGCGUAGAUAUCGGGAGGACACCAGUGGCGAAGGCGAUCAUCUGGGGUUGUUCUGACGCUGAGGAGCGAAAGCGUGGGAGCGAACAGG